GACGAACGCUGGCGGCGUGCUUAACACAUGCAAGUCGAACGGUAAGGCCCUUCGGGGUACACGAGUGGCGAACGGGUGAGUAACACGUGGGUGAUCUGCCCUGCACUUCGGGAUAAGCCUGGGAAACUGUGUCUAAUACCGGAUAGGACUCCUGGCUUCCUGGUUGGGGGUGGAAAGCUGUUGCGGUGUGGGAUGGGCCCGCGGCCUAGCAGCUUGUUGGUGGGGUGAUGGCCUACCAAGGCGACGACGGGUAGCCGGCCUGAGAGGGUGACCGGUCACACUGGGACUGAGAUACGGCCCAGACUCCUACGGGAGGCAGCAGUGGGGAAUAUUGCACAAUGGGCGCAAGCCUGAUGCAGCGACGCCGCGUGAGGGAUGACGGCCUUCGGGUUGUAAACCUCUUUCAGCUAUGACGAAGCGCAAGUGACGGUAGUAGCAGAAGAAGGACCGGCCAACUACGUGCCAGCAGCCGCCGUAA
rnacentral:rRNA from 1 species